rnacentral:rRNA from 1 species
GACGAACGCUGGCGGCGUGCUUAACACAUGCAAGUCGAACGGAAAGGCCCUGCUUUUGUGGGGUGCUCGAGUGGCGAACGGGUGAGUAACACGUGAGUAACCUGCCCUUGACUUUGGGAUAACUUCAGGAAACUGGGGCUAAUACCGGCUAGGAGCUCCUGCUGCAUGGUGGGGGUUGGAAAGUUUCGGCGGUUGGGGAUGGACUCGCGGCUUAUCAGCUUGUUGGUGGGGUAGUGGCUUACCAAGGCUUUGACGGGUAGCCGGCCUGAGAGGGUGACCGGCCACAUUGGGACUGAGAUACGGCCCAGACUCCUACGGGAGGCAGCAGUGGGGAAUAUUGCACAAUGGGCGGAAGCCUGAUGCAGCAACGCCGCGUGCGGGAUGACGGCCUUCGGGUUGUAAACCGCUUUAGCCUGUGACGAAGCGUGAGUGACGGUAAUGGGUAAAGAAGCACCGGCUAACUACGUG